CCCAGGUCAGGGUUAAACUCAGAGCUUCUGACUCCCAGUCUGAAACUUUUUUCUUGGCCUCAAACAAUAGGACAGAGCCUGUCAGGUGUGGGUUGAACUCUGCUCCUCCCUAGGAAGGAAGUCUCAAGCUUGGCCUAGGCUUUGAGAAUUCUGGGGGGCAGAGCGUGAGGUCCGAAAGGGGCUGUUGUGGCAGGCAGGGCGGCCACAACAGCCCUUUUGCUCUGUUGUGUGGGUGCAGCCGGGAGUCAGCCGGAACGUUGAGCCUGGCAGGGAGAGUGGACCCGCGCAGAGCUCAGUCUAGAUGGCUGGGAGGCUUGUGGGGAGAAGACGGUUGAGUCCUGACAGGGCCAGACCCCAGGGCAGGUUUGGACUGCCAUUUUGGGCCAAGGUGAGCGGAAGGUGGCUUUGGGGGCGGGCAAGUGGGCAAGACUGGGCGAGAGGCCUCACCCUCACACUGGAGCAAACCAGGGCAUUGCCUCCAAAUUCUCACACCUCUUUGGAUUGGUUUGCUUUUAAAACUUGAUUUUACUUGUUUCUCUUUCUAAAAAUACCACUUGCUCAUUAUGUUAAAAAAUACAGAGGAAGCCUAAAGAAAGAAAAAAUCAUCCUUGACCUUACCACACUGCAGGUCCUUUUUCUGUCCUGUUGGAGGAUGAUGUGGAUCCUGCCAGGUGCUCUGGAAGGGGCCAUGCAGGCCUCCCUGUCUGCCUGAGCAGUGAGGGGUGCAUCUUAGCAUAGUUUGCCAGCAUCCCAUUUGCACCCACUCCCGCUCUCCUCUGACCCUCCAAGGACCCUCUCCGGGAGGUAGGCGUGCUAGGGUCGCUAUUUGUAAAUUUGAGGCGGCAGUGGCAUCAUACUUGAGUUCUGUAACUACAUGAGGGCACGAUUAGGGCUCAGUGCUGAUCCUGGCUCCCACUCUGGUGCUCUGUCACUGAGGAGCCUCCUUUGGGGGCCAUUCUUCUGUGAGUUUUGCUUAACUACAUGGGGGUGGCUGUAUGCCAUGCUGAAGGCUUUUCCCCCACCCUUCUAUUAAAUCGAGUUCCUGCUCCUUCUCCCAGGCUCGGCUUGUGGGACCUUUGUGUCAGCCUGCUCUUGGCAACAGCGGGCCUCUCUCUCCCAGCUCUGGGCCUCCCCACUCUCCAGCCCCUGCAGUGGGAGUGGGUCCCCCUCACGGGGAGGGGCCUUGGCAGGAGCUGAAUGCUGGCAGGGCUGCGGCCUGUGGGCAUGUGAUUGAAAGUGCUCCGGCUCCCGGGGUCAGCAUGGCUCAAAGCCUCCCAGCCCCAUGGGAAACACUCGGGGCGGCGCUCUCACUCAGACCCUCUCUUCCACCCUGGCCCCCUGGUGGUAUCCUGGCUCCACAGUGGCUCUUUCCUCUCAGCUGAAAGGACAGUCCCGCCUGCCGGCCGGCGACUUCCACAUUAGCAACAACACUGGUGGGGGUAAUAAUGUUAUAGGAGCUCCCACAGUGCUGGGAACUGCACAUGGCCAGGAACGUGGGUCCUCUGCAGCCCUGGGGACAGCUGCCCACAACAGGGCUGCUACCUUCUGGGGCUGGCUUUCUGCUUGCUUUAUGGGCUCAGAGUGAAUCUUCUGGAGAUGAGAUGCACACUCAUAGCAUUCAGAGCUCAUUCCCUCAUGCAUUCAACAAAUUGAAUAUUCUUUAUGUGCCAGGCACUGGGCUAGGUACUGAGGUUCAGUGUGAACAAGUCAGGCAGGGGCCCUGCCUUCAGGCAUCUGCUUGUGGGUGUGGACACUAAACAAUGGCCGAGGUAGGUAACUGCAGAUCUGGGUAUGUGAUAGGAAGGGAGAGUGCAGGACUUGAUCAGUAUAAAAAAGAGGUCUAAUUUAGAUGCCAGGGGAAAGAGAGAGCUUCUUUGAGGAUGUGACAGAUAACCUGAGGACUGAACAUAUGAGUUGCAUUGACUGGAGGAAGAACAUGCUAGAAAGAACAGCAUUUGCAAAGACCCUGAGCCAGGAAGAAACUUGAUGCUUUUGUGGAAGUGAGAGGGGGCCUGUACUGCUGGAGUUCUCUGUGUUUGGAAGAGCGGGUGGUAUGAGGUGGGCAGGGGCAGCCAGGAACUCGAGGGCUGUGGGAACGCUAUGGUCACCAUCCUCAGAGUCCUAGAACGGUUUAAGCGGGGAAAGAAUAUGGUCUUUUUUUUUUUUUUUNNNNNNNNNNNNNNNNNNNNNNNNNNNNNNNNNNNNNNNNNNNNNNNNNNNNNNNNNNNNNNNNNNNNNNNUCUCAGCUCACUGCAACCUCCGCCUCCUGGGUUCAAGCGAUUCUCAUGCUUCAGCCUCCUGAGUAGCUGGGAUUACAGGCACCCACCACCAUACCUGGCUAAUUUUUGUAUUUUUACUAGAGACAGGGUUUCACCACGUUGGCCAGGCUGGUUUCAAACUCCUGACCUCAGGUGAUCCACCCACCUCGGCCUCCCAAAGUGCUGGGAUUAUAGGUGUGAGCCACCACGCCCGGCCUAGAAUGUGGUCAUUAUUACGUGUAUUUGUAAAGUGUCCCUCUGGCUAGGGCUCAGAGAGGCAGCGACCUGUCUAGGGUCACAGAACCAGAGAUGGAUCCAGGCUGAGUCCAGGCCGAGACUCUGGCACCAGUCUGGGGUCCUCCCACACCCCUUCCUCACACUUAACACAGACGUGUAGUCACAUGCGCCCAGACACGACCACAGCCUCCUGUCCUGGAUACCAAUUUCAUAAGUGACCGAUUUGUAAAUGAAAAAGCUGAUGUAUUAAUUAUUAAUUGGAAAGAGACUGCUCUGGAAACCCACGUUCUUUGCCAUUCUCUUACCUGGGAGAACCCAGUGGGCCUUCAGAGGGCACACACUGGUCUGGAGUUUCAGUGAAGGGGUGUGUGGUUUGAGUGUAUCUUAUCAAGGGUCCGAGGGCACUGGCUGGGGUCCCUUCUCUGAAGCAUCGCUCUCCCAUGCCAGAGGCUGGCAGGUCCCAUUUCCUAGUUCCUCCUUUGAGACUCAGUAGAGUCCACUAGAAUCCCACCCUUUUGUUACUGGGGUCAGUCUCACUGACCCCACACAGGGACCUCCCAUGUCUUCCAGAUGAACCCUGGCCUCACAUCUGCUGUGCAGUGGGCCCUUCCCUGUCCCUCAAGGAAGCUUCCUUCAGAUUACAGGCAGGAUGGCUACAGCCCGUGUCAUCAUUUCGUUCUGCUGAAACCUCCUUUUCAGAACAGUGGUCCAUUCGACAGCCUUCCGUUUGGGCCCAUCAAACACAUUACCAAGAAUUCAGCACUUCCGACAGUCAGACACCAGUCCAGGGGGCUCUCUCAGGUGUCGUCUAAGCCUGGGAUCUCCAGCAAGUUAUUUCAAAAAAAGCCUCGGGGGUUUUUGUUUUGUUUUGAGGCAGGGUCUUGCCCUGUCGCUCAGGCGGAAGUGUAAUGGUGCGAUCUCGGCUCAUUGCAGCCUUAAACUCCUGGGCUCAAGUGAUCUUCCUGCCUCGGCCCCCAAGUAGCUGGGACCACAGGUGCACGGCUAAUUUUUAUUUAUUUUAUUCUUAUUUUUAUAUUUUGAGACAGUCUCGCUCUGUCUUGUAGGCUGGAGUGCAGUGG
rnacentral:lncRNA from 1 species